rnacentral:lncRNA from 1 species
ACUUCUCCUGUGACAGAACUUGUAAAGCUAUAGCCUUAUUUUACUAGGAUCAAGGGGAAACUAUGGAUUAUGGUUGCACAACUGAAAACAGAACACAGACUUUAGUUUGUGCAGUUGUGGUGAUCAUAUCCAUGAUUCAAUGGUAUAAUUAUACUUGUAGCUAUAGUUGUUUAUUCCACUCAAAUGUGCCAGGAUAUCGGACGUGUCAAGCAUGUCUUCUCC